rnacentral:lncRNA from 1 species
UGAGUAGGGAGAUAAAGGAAGGGUAUAAUAUAUAGACAAACUGUAGAGGGGAAGUAUGCAGCUGGCAUCAGAAGCUGGAAGAUAGGAUCUUCCCGGAUCACAGCUCCUGUUCAGAAAGUCUGAGGAUGUCAGACUGAGACUGUUGAGUCUCAGGAUGUCACAGGACAGGAUGGAUGAAGAAUGCUAGUCCUGGCAGUUGGGGCCUAAGGCCAGGGCCCUUUUUUAUCACUUUCUUGUGUUGUCUCUCUGCCCA